AUUGAACGCUGGCGGCAUGCUUUACACAUGCAAGUCGAACGGCAGCGCGGGCUUCGGCCUGGCGGCGAGUGGCGAACGGGUGAGUAAUGCAUCGGAACGUGCCCAGUAGUGGGGGAUAGCCCGGCGAAAGCCGGAUUAAUACCGCAUACGACCUGAGGGUGAAAGCGGGGGACCGAAAGGCCUCGCGCUAUUGGAGCGGCCGAUGGCGGAUUAGCUAGUUGGUGGGGUAAAGGCUUACCAAGGCGACGAUCCGUAGCUGGUCUGAGAGGACGACCAGCCACACUGGGACUGAGACACGGCCCAGACUCCUACGGGAGGCAGCAGUGGGGAAUUUUGGACAAUGGGGGCAACCCUGAUCCAGCCAUGCCGCGUGCGGGAAGAAGGCCUUCGGGUUGUAAACCGCUUUUGUUCGGGAAGAAAUACUCUGGGCUAAUACCCCGGGGGGAUGACGGUACCGGAAGAAUAAGCACCGGCUAACUACGUG
rnacentral:rRNA from 1 species